GCCGGCCUAGCUCAGUUGGUAGAGCAGCUGUUUCGUAAACAGCAGGUCGUCGGUUCGAGUCCGACGGUCGGCUCCC
rnacentral:tRNA from 1 species